rnacentral:rRNA from 1 species
UACGUAGGGCGCAAGCGUUAUCCGGAAUUAUUGGGCGUAAAGAGCUCGUAGGCGGUUUGUCGCGUCUGCCGUGAAAGUCCGGGGCUCAACUCCGGAUCUGCGGUGGGUACGGGCAGACUAGAGUGAUGUAGGGGAGACUGGAAUUCCUGGUGUAGCGGUGAAAUGCGUAGAUAUCGAUUGGAACGCCAGUGGUGAAAACGGGUCGCGUGGGACAUGCUGACGCUGAGACACGAAAGCCAGGGAGGCAAACGGG